CACGUAGGCACCAAGCGUUGUCCGGAUUUAUUGGGCGUAAAGAGCUCGUAGGCGGUCUGUCGCGUCGGAUGUGAAAAUCCAGGGCUUAACCCUGGACCUGCAUUCGAUACGGGCAGACUAGAGUUCGGUAGGGGAGACUGGAAUUCCUGGUGUAGCGGUGAAAUGCGCAGAUAUCAGGAGGAACACCGGUGGCGAAGGCGGGUCUCUGGGCCGAUACUGACGCUGAGGAGCGAAAGCGUGGGGAGCGAACAGG
rnacentral:rRNA from 1 species